AGUGAACGCUGGCGGUAGGCCUAACACAUGCAAGUCGAACGGCAGCACAGUAAGAGCUUGCUCUUACGGGUGGCGAGUGGCGGACGGGUGAGGAAUACAUCGGAAUCUACUUUUUCGUGGGGGAUAACGUAGGGAAACUUACGCUAAUACCGCAUACGACCUACGGGUGAAAGCAGGGGAUCUUCGGACCUUGCGCGAUUGAAUGAGCCGAUGUCGGAUUAGCUAGUUGGCGGGGUAAAGGCCCACCAAGGCGACGAUCCGUAGCUGGUGUGAGAGGAUGAUCAGCCACACUGGAACUGGGACACGGUCCAGACUCCUACGGGAGGCAGCAGUGGGGAAUAUUGGACAAUGGGCGCAAGCCUGAUCCAGCCAUACCGCGUGGGUGAAGAAGGCGUUCGGGUUGUAAAGCCCUUUUGUUGGGAAAGAAAAGCAGCAGGUUAAUACCCCGCUGUUCUGACGGUACCCAAAGAAUAAGCACCGGCUAACUUCGUG
rnacentral:rRNA from 1 species